rnacentral:rRNA from 1 species
AUCGAACGCUGGCGGCAGGCCUAAUACAUGCAAGUCGAGCGGAGCGGCGGACGGGGGAGUAAUGCCUAGGAAUCUGCCUGGUAGUGGCGGAUAACGUCCGGAAACGGGCGCUAUACCGCAUACUAUCAGAUGAGCCUAGGUCGGAUUAGCUAGUGGGUGGGGAAAAGGCCUACCAAGGCGACGAUCCGUAACUGGUCUGAGCGGAUGAUCAGUCACACUGGAACGGAGACACGGUCCAGACUCUUACGGGGGGCAGCAGUGGGGAAUAUUGGACAAUGGGCGAAAGCCUGAUGCAGCCAUGCCGCGUGUGUGAAGAAGGUCUUCGGAUUGUAAAGCACUUUAAGUUGGGAGGCGUUACCCACAGAAGAAGCACCGGCUAACUUCGUGCCAGCCGCCGCGGUAAUAC